UACAGAGGUCUCAAGCGUUGUUCGGAUUCAUUGGGCGUAAAGGGAGCGUAGGUGGCGGGGUUAGUCAGGUGUGAAAUCUCGGGGCUCAACCCCGAAACUGCACUUGAUACUGCCUUGCUCGAGUACUGGAGAGGAGAUUGGAAUUUACGGUGUAGCAGUGAAAUGCGUAGAUAUCGUAAGGAAGACCAGUGGCGAAGGCGAAUCUCUGGACAGUUACUGACACUGAGGCUCGAAGGCCAGGGGAGCAAACGGG
rnacentral:rRNA from 1 species